rnacentral:miRNA from 1 species
UCGCUAUGAUGAUGGUGGUGGUGGUGGUGAUGAUGAUGAUGAUGAUGAUAAUAAUCCCAGAUCAUCAUCACUACUAUCAUUAUCAUCCUCC